UAGCAAGCUCAAUAAAUAGCUGGUAACCAUACUCGAACUCUUAAAAGAAGUUCACCCCAUCCCCCAAGACUCCCUAUCACUUCCCAAUCCCUCCAUAACCCUCGUACUGGACUUAGCUGUUAGCCUGACCUCAGCGAGGAGGAGCACCCCAGUGCCCUCCAGGAGAUAUCCAGCGACCCAAAUUACACUUUGGGUGUUAUUUGCGCCGCUGUCCUCUGCCCAGCGGGAAGAGCCGCGUUCAGCGGGAAGCCUCCGGCGACGCCUUAGGCCUGUUUGUCCUCGGACAUUUACGCCGCCGUGGACGCGUGUCAGGAAAGGCGAGUGACCGGCUGCGGGGGGACCACCGCAUCCCUCUGCCCGCCCUUGGGAGCCUCUCCCCGCCACCGGCCUCGCCGAGGCGAGGGCAGCUCUGCGACCAGCAGGGAAACGCCCCGAGGAAGCGGCCCCCUUCGUCGUCUUUUAUCUGGGAAGACCUGUGAGGCGUCCCCGGGCAGGGUUCUGGGCUCGAGGCACAGACCGGAGAGUCUGGGGCGGGCUCUCCUCAGCAGGCGCAUCGCGCCGCUCCCCCCUCUCCCCCCCCUCCUCCUCCUCCUCCUCCAGCACCACCCUACCACUUGUACUUCUUUAUUCCCAGCCCCCUCGACCCGUGGGGGAUCCCUGGGGACGCGGCGUGACGGCUGCCUGCGGGCCCCGCCACGGUACCCACCACCCCGCCUCAGCCCCGGCCGCGGGCGGCUGCAGCGCAGGCUGCCGAGGGGAGGGGAGGGGGCAGGAGCCGAGGCCGGGCAGAGGGCGGGCCCGGCUGUGGCAGGGGCGGGGGGCGGGGGCCGGGGCCGGGGCUCCCCGGCAGGGAGCGGCCGGCAGCAGCCGAACCCCCUGCCCGAGGCAGGCGCGGCGGCCACGUCAGCCCCGGAGCCGCCCCGCCCGCCUCCGGCCCAGAGCCGGAUCCCGCCGCGGGCCGCCCUUCCGCCCGGCGCCGGGGUGAAGGCGCCGCCGUCCCAUGCUGCCCCGCGCCCGGCCCGCUCCCUCCGCCGGCUCUCCGCCGCUCUCAGCCGCCGGCCGGCUCCGCUGCCCUCCCUGCAGCCCGGUAAGCGCCGCGCCGCUUCCCCGGCGCUCGGCUGGUACCGAGGCCGCGCCAGCGGGGAGAGGAGAGGAAGGGAGGGGAGGGGAGGGGACCGUGAGGCAACCACGCCCCGGCGGCGGCGGCAGUCGCUCGCCGCACGCCCCUUCUCCCGCCGCAGCCCGGCCGCCCCCGGCCUGGCGGGGCUGUUACCUCCGGCCUCGCACCUCCGCGUCCCGCCGGCCCCCUUCGCCGCCGCCGCGGCGGCUCCCAUCGCCGGUCCCCGGGCCGAUAGCGGGCGGCCCGCCGGCUCUGCCCGGCUUUAUCUGCGAGGGGCGUCCGCCGCCUCCUUGGCGGGCAGCCCUCCGCCCCGCAGCGGCGGCUGGCCCAAAGCUACCGGGUCCUUUCGGAAGACAUGUCCCCCCGCGAGACUAAAAGUUGUAACUUUUGCAAGACUUGUGACAUGA
rnacentral:lncRNA from 1 species